rnacentral:lncRNA from 1 species
AAGCUCCGGUGGAAAAUUAUUAGCUAACGCUACCGUAAACGUUAGCCUAACAUUAGCUAGAUUUGUUACUAAAGAGCAGCUAGCUUGUAUAGCUAACAGUAAAUCACAAAAAAGAAAUAAUAAAAUGUAUUAAAAUCUGAAUUACCUAACAUUGUAUUGGUUGUCAUUCAUGAUGGAAGAGUAGACAAGUUAAACUACAGCAUGUCCACCAUCUCUUGUGGGGGUUAUGCAUUAAGCCACAUUGUGCCUCAUAUACUGUAAAUGUUAGACCCAGGGACAGGCUGGCUGACAAUGGCUUGCAUAAUACUUAGUAAGGAGGCCAUAAUAUUUAUUCAAAAUUUUCUUCCGGGGGAGCAUGCCCAUAGAGGGGUAAUAUCCUUCUUACCUUUUUCACCCCUGACCCGUUUUCAUGCCUGCUUAAGCCUACUCUUAAAUGUGGAGAGGGUGUCUGCCUCCCUAACCACAACUGGAAGCUGGUUCCACAGGAGAGGAGCUUGGUCACUGAAGGCUCUGGCUCCUGUUCUACUUUUACUGAUUAUAUCACGACGCUAGCCUCCUAUGUUUUAAUAUUUUCUUUUUUAGAGGGGCAACACAGUCGAGUGUUGUUCGCAGUAACCUGCAGCACUAUUAACAAGAUGAUCAAUUUGGGAGGGACUAAGGUAAUCAAAGGAGUAUUUAAAUACAGAUUUUGCUGUAUAUAUACAUUUUGCUACAGCACUGUCAGAUAGACAUCUGGUAAAUGAUGGUCAGAUAAAAAAGGAUUACGGAGAAAGAUUAAAUGUUCAAUUGAAAUGCCAUAUGAUAGAACGAGGUCAAGAGUGUGAUUAAGCCUCCGCUCUUCUGAUGCCAACCUCCUAUCUCCACCACUGAGGACCAAGCAUCGUCCACGGGGCGACAGAGCCUUCUCCAUUGCUGCCCCCUCCCUCUGGAACUCUCUCCCCAAACAAAUCCGAGACUGUACUGAUCCAUCCAAUUUCAAAUCACUGAUCAAAACCCUUAAAAAUGAGGUUCCUCUGGCUCCUCCUAGUGCUCCCAAUGGCAUUUGCAAGAAUCUACCAGGUCUUAACAAGAAUAACCAAUCGAAAGAUAGAAAAGACACUUUGGGUUGGUGGCUUGAAGAUAGUCGAGUGUUAAGUCUCAUUCACAGCAUCAGUAUUGGACGACCUGGGAAUGAGACUUUAAAAUGAACUUUCUUUCAUGGCUCUGAGUGUUUUUUCCCCCAGUUCAGGUCUGGUGGAUUCUUGUAAAUACCAUUAGGAGCACUAGGAGGAACCUGAUUUCACAGAUUAUCUGACGUACUACUGUGAUAUGGUGAAAGUUUCAGCAAAUAUGACAAAAAGUUACUUUUAUAAAAGUUACUUACUGCAGCUUUAGCUAUAAUCUCUAACUUGGUUAUAACCUUUCAUAAAAACAGGCUUUACAUCAUCUCCAUCUGCUGCAUAUAUGAACACUAGUGUUUUACACUGCCGGUUUCCAUGAGUGCAUGUGUCUCUGGUUUGGCAACCAGUGCUGUCACAAUGCAGCAUAACUUCCUCUCAUUUACUACAAUACACAAUGCAUCUUCUGUUUUUCAUGGUAGCUGUUCCUCCUUAGAUACUUAAUACCACCGGCUUUUACAGACCAAAUCUAAAAUGCUGGUUCAGCUAAAUGUAUGGUUCAUCUGCUUCAAGGCUUUCAUUGCUGGACUCUCAGUGAUUCCUGGCUGGAAUAUAUCUAGAAUAUGCCCUCAAGAAGCCUCACAGUUAGCAAAUGGCAGCAUGCAUGAGAUAGUGGUGAAGGAGGGAUAUCUUAUGCAUUUUGUUAGUUAGCGAUAUACAGUUUAUCGGUAUUAAAAAUACCAGAAUUACUUUUGUAUGCCACUGCCAACCAGUGAAAUUGCAGUUUACAUUCUUGUCUGUCCACACCAUCGACUUGUCCGUAAAGACGGAUGACAUGACAGUUCUCCAAAGUCCACCAAGUCAUCCACCAAAGUGGACAUGCUAUAAUUUUUAUUCAUUUUUUAAAAGGUUAUAUUCC